rnacentral:rRNA from 2 species
UUGACCUCAAAUCAGGUAGGACUACCCGCUGAACUUAAGCAUAUCAAUAAGCGGAGGAAAAGAAACUAACAAGGAUUCCCCUAGUAACUGCGAGUGAAGCGGGAAAAGCUCAAAUUUAAAAUCUGGCAGUCUC